GAUCGUGACGUAGGCGCUGAGAUGCGCGCGCAUCUUGGCAACGGAAGUCGUCUGAUGCUGCUGUUAACUUCCUUGGACUAAAGCUAAACUCUAAAUGCAAACUGUUCCAAUCUAAAAUGUCGGCCUGCUGCGUACCUGGCUGUAAAAAUCGCAACUCUGCCGCGAACACGAUCAAAUUUUACAGAAUACCGAGCGGAAAGCGGCCGUUUCAGGCGAACAGGAGGCGUUUGUGGCUUAGGGCGAUUCACGGAGCGGGCGGCAGCACGGAGGAAAUUAAAAGCGGUGCUCGGAUUUGUGGCGCUCAUUUCGUAUCAGGCACGAGACCCCGUCCGCGUUCACCCCGCUACACGCUGCUCACUCAGGGGAUCUGCUCCACAGCUUCGCUAAAAACCUCCGUGUGCGUUUUUGUGUUGCAGGGGAAGCGUCGUUGGAUCACGACGAUCCCGACUUUGUGCCGUCUGUGUUUGCGUCCAAUAAACACAAGAGAAGAGUGAAAAGGUAACCAUGGAGAUGGAAUCCGCCGGACGCGUUCAGGGACCAGAUGUGCACAUCAGAACUAUUAUAGGCUAUAUGGGCGUAGAAGAAGACGGCGAAACAAAGCCGCCGGGAAAACAGCUCCACCUGACGAUGAAUCUCCUGUGGACCUCCAGGCGUUCGCUUGUUUGGAAAGUGAGAGUGAACUUCCAGAUGCAACAGGGACAACAUCCGAACCAUCAUUGCCAAAGGAAGUGGAACCUCUGAGUAAAGCAGAUGAGGCAACAUUGAGCACAAACAGUCCUUCACUAUCCGCGCACACCAACCAGUCAUGCGCACCGAGUCCUGUUGUGCUGCUAAAAUCUGUAGUAGCACCUGCAGGUGGGUUUCAGUGUGAGCUGUGCUCUCGGAACUUUGCUCAAGUGUCAGAACUACUCCAACACAAACUGGGACACGACAAAGAUAAAAACACCUAUAUCUGUGAAAUAUGUGGAAAGCACUUAUUAGGUCAGUCUGACUUUGCCGAGCACCAGCGCUUUCACGUAGAGUCUUAUUCAUGCAACAUGUGUCAUCGGUCUUUUAGUACAAGUCAGAACCUCAAGCGUCAUAAACUGCUCCAUGUCAAAGACGGCAGGAAGUGCCCUUUGUGCGGCAUACUAUUCUGUCGACGCCAUAACCACAUUUUAUUCCUGCCAAAGCCUGACCCUAUGUCUGAGUCUGAACCAGACUGCUCUGACACUGAGCCACAAAAUCUGAAUAGUAGUUUGAUGCCAGAAAACAAACAGAUGGAGAAGUCAAUCUCAUCGGAAGCACCUGCACCACAAAAACCUGCAACACGAGUAUUUGCACCUCAAGCACCUGCACCACAAAUAUCUGUACCACAAGUAUCUGCAACACAAAUUCUUGCACUACAGAUACCUGAACCAGAAGAACCUGCACCAAAAACACUUGCACCACAAAUACAUGCAACACGAAUAUUUGCACCACAAGAGCCGGGGUUGCAAUCAAUCUUCUCUUUACCGCGGCCACCUCCACCAGUACCUAAAUACCUGCGUACCUCUUCUCGGCGUAAGGGCAGGCAGGAUGCAGCCUCCUUGCCACCCCCUCCCCCAAAACAUUCGGAACUUCCUGCCUCACUACGGGUCUUCUCCCCUCUCUACCUCACCUCAGCAUCACUGGAAGUUAAAAGGAAUUAUGAAUACAUUUUAAGUAAACCGAAAAAGAAAGUGAAACAAGAAGUGGAACAGCCACUGUUUUCUCCAAACGCUCGUGGUGAUAGGCAAGUCAGAAAGCAAAGAGUGGCUUAUGACAUGGAGAUUGUGCUCUGAUUUAAAAACAUAAAGCUUUUAGCCAAUCACUGUUUCCGAAACAUAAGCUAACUUGUGUUUAUUUAAAAGGACUCUGUUUUUUCAUGCUUUUAUGCUAAAUACAAAAUGUGCUCCACACCUCAGUGCUUCUUGGUCUUACCUGAGAGUGAACAUGUUUGUGAAUGUAACUGAUGUGUUUUUUGCUACUGUCUUUCAGUAUUAAAAAAGAGCGUAGAAUGCAUCUGAAUGGGACCUGUAAAAGUGUGCAUCAGCCACCAGGUGGCAUAUGUGCUGCAGCCUUUUCCUCCAUUCUGUACCACAUGCACUGUGCUCCACACAACAAUGAUCAUUGGUUAAUAUUUUAACUGGAUUCAGUUUUCCUAGCUACCUCAGCUACUGGGAACUGUUUUGUAUUGCAUACGGUAGAUUUUUGCACAGAAUAUGCAUGUGUGGAUUAAAACCUGGCCUUUACAGAGGUCAGGUCAUAUCACUAGGGGCUAAAACCAUUCAAACGGUUGUUCAUAAUACAAGCAUACAGUAUGUUUUUAUUUAGUUUUUUUUAUUCAGCUUUAAAUGAGUAUCAGUGACUUAUACAAUUUGAGUUGCUUUGCAUCAUAUCUGUCAGGACAUCAUGGCCUUAAAACACUGGUGCAUAGAGUAGGGGUCCUUUUUAACAUUGAAUAAAUAUUUCAAGUGCUAAAUAAAGACAAACUGUCAGCGGAGUGUUGGCCUUUAGGUGCCCCUGUUUUACAGUGUGUCUGUAUCAGACUGAAUUUGAGUCUAAAUUUGUUUUGUAUUUUGAGAAAUAAAACUAUGACACUA